GACUUGAUUUCAUGGACUGCUAAUUCCCCUUCUUCCUUUUCAGAUGUUUUGCGACAACUAAUUAGAUGGUGGCUGCCAUGUUCCAUAUGCACAUAAAGAUUUGGCAUCUGGUUUGAAGCUUGAUUCUUACUCCACCAUAAUAUGGGCCUUGGAUGGACACCAACCUUGUGCUGCUUCUCGGAGCCAGGAAAUGCCAAGUGAUAUUUGACUACUUUAUUGAGGCUUAUCACAAGGAUGACAAAGCUUUCAUUGAAAGGAGUAGUAGAUAGUGAAAGAGUACAGAUUGAGGAUAUUAUGCUUUGUGAAGGCGUUCAGAGUGGUCUUGAAUCUCCAGAAUAUUGUAGCGGUAGAUGUGCUCCCACAGUUGAGAAAGCUAUGCAUCAUUUCCACCAAUUGCUUCAUGAUAAUCUUAAAAUGUGAGUGUCCUGAUGCCUUAAUCACAAGUUUCAUGUUCAGUGUCAAGUACAAUCAUGCACUCACAAACUUAGGCAAGAUCUUCAAGUACUCAAUCCCCCCAUUUUUGUAAAUGAAUAUCAAGUACAUCAAGUUCUUGGUACUUGGUUUUAUACAAGGGAUUUCAAUUCGUCA